rnacentral:tRNA from 1 species
UCUGUGGUGGGCCAGUGGUAAGUCUCUGUGCUCCCAAUGCAGGGGGCCCAGGUUCGUUCCCUGGCCACACAC